UAAAGCAUGGCACUGAAGAUGCCAAGAUGGCUGCCAUUCAUGCACCCGAGGACA
rnacentral:tRNA from 1 species